UGAAAUGCUUUCAGCCUUUCACUCGAGUCCCUGUGCCUGUUUACCAGCACGCAAAAUCAGAAGCUGCAGCAAAACCCACUCGCGAAGAAAAUUCCUUGAAAAUGAUUACUCGCACCGUUCCUUUCCCUUUAUUCCGCGAUUCUCAAUCCAAAAAUCGACGGGGAAAAAGAGCCGAGGACACAAUGAAUGGUUAGCAAGCAGAAUACAUGCAUAUUGUCUCGAUUCACCACACAAUUCAGCUCAAUUUUCUGAAGCUCGAGCAGAACAGUAUCGGGGCGCAAGUUGUUUGAUGAAAUGUCUACUUCAGGAAGCAAGGAUAUUUAUGCAAAUCAGAGUUCCGCAGCUCAAUCCUCAGCUGCAGAGCAGCGCCAUCACCACCGCAGCAGCACUAACAACAAUUCCAGCACGAACAGGGGCGGCCAUUCAGUGAGCAGGGCUGUAGCGCAGUACACCGUGGAUGCGAGACUCCACGCGGUAUUCGAGCAGUCUGAGAAAUCGUUUGAUUAUUCACAGAGCGUUAGAACCGGUAAUCAAUCCGUCUCCGAGCAGCAGAUCACCGCUUAUUUCUCGAAAAUACAGCGCGGAGGCCACAUUCAGCCCUUUGGUUGUAUGAUUGCUGUCGAUGAGCGGAGUUUCUGCGUCAUAGCUUACUCGGAGAAUGCCUGUGAAAUGCUGGCCUUGACGCCUCAGUCAGUCCCAAGUCUUGAAAAGCUGGAAACUUUGACAAUCGGCACUGAUGUUAGGAGCCUUUUCACCCCCUCCAGCUCGAUUUUGCUCGAGAGGGCGUUUGGGGCGCGGGAAAUCACGUUGUUGAAUCCAGUUUGGGUUCAUUCCAAGAAUUCUGGGAAGCCCUUUUAUGCUAUUUUGCAUAGGAUAGAUGUAGGGAUAGUGAUAGAUUUAGAGCCUGCUAGGAAGGAGGACCCUGCUCUUUCCAUAGCUGGAGCUGUACAGUCUCAGAAGCUUGCUGUGAGGGUCAUUUCCCAUUUGCAGUCACUCCCCGGUGGGGACAUUAAGCUUUUGUGUGAUACAGUUGUUGAGUGUUUGAGAGAGCUAACAGGAUUUGAUCGAGUUAUGGUUUAUAAGUUUCAUGAGGAUGAGCAUGGUGAGGUUGUGGCAGAGAGUAAGAGACAUGAUUUGGAUCCAUACCUAGGAUUGCAUUAUCCUUCCACGGAUAUUCCCCAGGCUUCAAGGUUUCUUUUUAAGCAGAAUAGAGUCCGGUUGAUCGUGGACUGUACAGCUAGACCCAUCACGGUUAUUCAGGAUGAAGCACUGAUGCAGCCUUUGUGUUUGGUAGGUUCUACACUGAGGGCUCCUCAUGGUUGCCAUGCCCAGUACAUGGCAUUUAUGGGGUCAGUUGCUUCUUUAACUUUGGCUGUUAUUAUCAAUGGAAAUGAUGAAGAUGGUGUUGGAGGAAGAAACUCAAUGAGGCUAUGGGGAUUGGUUGUUGGUCACCACUCUUCUGCUCGUUAUGUUCCAUUCCCUCUUCGUUAUGCUUGUGAAUUCCUGAUGCAGGCGUUUGGACUUCAACUGAAUAUGGAGUUACAGUUGGCGUCACAGUUGUCUGAGAAGCAUGUUUUAAGGACACAGACUCUAUUGUGCGAUAUGUUACUUCGAGAUUCACCUAGUGGGAUUGUUACACAGAGCCCUAGCAUUAUGGACCUCGUGAAAUGUGAUGGUGCUGCUCUAUACUACCAAGGGAAGUAUUAUCCUCUGGGCGUCACACCUACUGAGGUGCAGAUGAAGGAUAUUCUGCAAUGGUUGCUGGUGUCUCAUGAAGGUUCGACAGGUUUGAGCACUGAUAGUUUAGCUGAUGCAGGGUAUCCUGGGGCAGCCUCUCUAGGCAAUGCUGUAUGUGGAAUGGCUGUUGCGUAUAUCACUUCAAGAGAUUUCUUGUUCUGGUUUCGUUCCCAUACUGCUAAAGAGAUGAAAUGGGGUGGAGCAAAGCAUCAUCCAAAGGAUAAAGAUGAUGGCAUGAGAAUGCAUCCUCGUUCCUCAUUCAACGCGUUUCUAGAAGUUGUCAAGAGCCGCAGUCUACCAUGGGAGAAUGCAGAGAUGGAUGCAAUUCACUCUCUUCAACUAAUUUUGAGAGAGUCAUUUCAGGAUUCUGAUGGAAGCAAUUCUAAGGCAGUUGUAGCAACCCAAGGAGGGGACUUGGAGUUACAAGGGAUUGAUGAACUCAGUUCUGUAGCCAGAGAAAUGGGUAGGUUGAUAGAGACUGCAAGGGCUCCUAUAUUUGCUGUUGACAGUGAAGGCCGCAUAAAUGGGUGGAAUGCAAAAGUUGCUGAGUUGACUGGACUCUCUGUUGAGGAAGCAAUGGGGAAGUCCUUGGUUCAUGAUCUUGUUCACAAAGAAUCGGAAGAAAUGGCUGACAAACUUCUAUUUCAUGCUCUCAUAGGUGAGGAAGAGCAGAAUGUAGAAUUAAAGUUGAGGACAUUUGGUACUGAAACCAGCAAGAAGGCUAUAUUUUUGGUGGUCAAUGCUUGUUCUAGCAAGGAUUAUACAAACAACAUAGUUGGUGUGUGCUUUGUUGGUCAGGAUGUCACCGGUCAGAAAUUUGUGAUGGAUAAGUUUAUCAAUAUUCAAGGUGAUUACAAGGCAAUUAUACACAAUCCGAGUACUCUAAUUCCACCUAUAUUUGCUUCGGAUGAGAAUACAUCUUGCUAUGAGUGGAACACCGCUAUGCAAAAGCUAACUGGGUGGAGUAGGGAGGACAUCAUUGGAAAGAUGUUGGUUGGGGAGAUAUUCGGAAAUUGUUGUCAGCUCAAGGGAUCAGAUGCAUUGACAAAAUUCAUGAUUGUCUUGCACAAUGCACUUGGAGGUCAGGAUACUGACAAGUUCCCGUUUUCUUUUUUUGACCGAAGUGGUAAAUAUGUACAAGCUCUGUUGACUGCCAACAAGAGGGUAAAUACGGAGGGCCAUAUUGUUGGAACCUUUUGUUUCUUGCAAAUUGCAAGUCCUGAGUUGCAACAAGCUAUCAGAGUCCAGAGGCAAAAGGAAAAGAACUGUGUUUUAAAGAUGAAAGAGCUCACUUAUAUUUGUCAGGAAAUAAGAAAUCCAUUAAGUGGUAUACGUUUUGCUAAUUCAGUUCUGGAAAGCACAAAUUUGACUGAAGACCAGAAGCAGUUUCUUGAGACCAGUGCUGCUUGUGAGAGGCAGUUAUUAAAGAUUAUGAAGGAUGUUGAACUUGAAAGAAUUGAGGAUGGUUCAAUGGAGCUUGAGAAUUCUGAGUUUCUACUUGGGAGUGUAAUAGAUGCCGUUGUUAGCCAAGCAAUGUUCUUGCUUAGAGAAAGAGGUAUGCAGUUGAUCCAUGAUAUACCUGAGGAAGUCAAGACACUGGGAGUCUAUGGUGAUCAAUUUAGAAUUCAACAAAUCUUAGCCGAUUUCUUACUGAACAUGGUGCGGUAUGCACCAACCUCAAAAGGUUGGAUAGAAAUGCAACUCAGUCCAAACUUGAAGCAAAUCUCUGAAUCAAUGACCACAGUGCACAUCGAAUUUAGGAUUACGUGUCCAGGCGAAGGUCUUCCUCCUGAACUCGUCCAAGACAUGUUCCAAAAUGGGCGAUGGGCGACUCAGGAAGGCCUAGGAUUAAGCAUGUGCAAGAAACUCUUGAAGCUUAUGAAUGGAGAAGUUCAAUAUAUCAGAGAAUCAGAGAAAUCUUUCUUCCUUAUUGUUCUUGAUCUGCCUAUGUCUAGCAGGGAUUUAAUGAGUAUCGACUGAUCUGGAACGACUACGACCCCACACUCAAUCUCUACAACAAGUCAGAGUCGACUUCUGAGACUUGCACGGCUGGCCCUUGAGGACACACAUCUUCGAGCUUUCACCUGCCAGGGAGAGGAUCAAGAAAGAAGAACGGAGAAUCAUUUUCAGCCAUUCGAUCAUCAAGAUCUACGGUGGAUGCAUCAUAUUGGUGGGUGAAUGUAUGAACAUACGAAUCUAUUUAAUUUGUUGAAAAACACGCCGCCGCCAGGAAUAGAACCCCAGAUCAAACACACGUUCAUAAAAAUUAAUUGACAUUUCAUCAAAAUAUACAACUUAUUCACAUCUA